rnacentral:rRNA from 1 species
UGCAGUCGAACGAUGAAGUCCUUCGGGAUGGAUUAGUGGCGCACGGGUGAGUAAUAUAUAGGUAAUGUGCCUCUUAGUCUGGGAUAGCCACUGGAAACGGUGAUUAAUACUAGAUACUCCUUCUUACUUCAAGGUAAGUCGGGAAAGUUUUUUCGCUAAGAGAUCGGCCUAUAUCCUAUCAGUUAGUUGGUGAGGUAAUGGCUCACCAAGGCGAUGACGGGUAGCGGGUUUGAGAGGAUGAUCCGCCACACUGGUACUGAGACACGGACCAGACUCCUACGGGAGGCAGCAGUGAGGAAUAUUGCACAAUGGGGGAAACCCUGAUGCAGCAACGCCGCGUGGAGGAUGACGCAUUUCGGUGUGUAAACUCCUUUUAUGAGUCAAGAAAAUGACGGUAGCUCAUGAAUAAGCACCGGCUAACUCCGUGCCAGCAGCCGCGGUAAUACGGAGGGUGCAAGCGUUACUCGGAAUCACUGGGCGUAAAGAGCGUGUAGGCGGGUAUAUAAGUCAGAAGUGAAAUCCAAUAGCUCAACUAUUGAACUGCUUUUGAAACUGUAUACCUAGAAUGUGGGAGAGGUAGAUGGAAUUUCUGGUGU